GCCCACUGAUAUAAAUUAAAGGGCCGCAGUAUUUUGACUGUGCGAAGGUAGCAUAAUCACUAGUCUUUUAAUUGGAGGCUUGUAUGAAUGGUUGAAUGAGAUAUAUACUGUCUUUUUUAAAAUUAUAUAGAAUUUUAUUUUUUAAUUAAAAAGUUAAAAUAAAAUUAAAGGACGAGAAGACCCUAUAGAUCUUUAUUUUUGUUAUUUAUAAAUUAAAAAGAAUUUUAAAAUUUAUAAUUUAAUAAAAAAUUUUAUUGGGGUGAUAUUAAAAUUUAAAAAACUUUUAAAAUUUAUUAACAUAAAUAUAUGAAUAAAUGAUCCAGUUUUAUUGAUUAAAAAUUUAAGUUACCUUAGGGAUAACAGCGUAAUUUUUUUUUAGAGUUCAUAUCGACAAAAAAGAUUGCGACCUCGAUGUUGGAUUAAGAGUUAUUUUUAGGUGUAGAAGUUUAAAGUUUAGGUCUGUUCGACCUUUGAAUUCUUACAUGAUCUGAGUUAAAACCGGAGA
rnacentral:rRNA from 1 species